AGCGAACGCUGGCGGCAGGCCUAACACAUGCAAGUCGAACGACCUCUUCGGAGUUAGUGUCGGACGGGUGAGUAACCCGUUGGAACGUGCCUUUUGGUUCGGACUAACUCAGGGAAACUUGUGCUAAUACCGAAUUUGCCCUUCGGGGGAACGGUUUAUCGCCAUUAGAGCGGCCCGCGUCUGAUUAGCUGGUUGGUGAGGUAACGGCUCAGAAAGGCGACAAUCAGUAGCUGGUCUGCGAGGCUGACCAGCAACACUGGUACUGAGACACGGCCCGAAUUCUGACGGAGGGAAGAAGGGGGGAAUCUGGCGAAAUGGGCGAAAGCUGAAGGCCGCCAGGCGGGGAAAAAGUUGAGGGGGUAAGGAUAGGAAAAUUGUUUAACCGGGGACGAUAAGAAGGGACCCGGAGAAGAAGCCCCGGCUAACUUCGUG
rnacentral:rRNA from 1 species